UUCAGUCUCCGCUAUCAUUCAGCCUUGUGAAGUCGGCAAACCAAUAAUAUUAUUCCAAAAGUAUUUAUUCAAAAAAAAUAUUGAGUGAUUUUGUGAUUAAUUUUCGGCAAUGAAAUUUGUAUCCAAAACUAAAAUGAUGUUAUUUAAAGAGAACGAUUUCGAUCAUGAAGACGUGGAGCGCGAAGCGGAAAAUAUCCGCGAAAAAAAACGCAGACUGAACGAAAGACUAAGGCUCUGGAAAAUAAAAAGACGGGAGAUAAUGAGAAACUUCCAACGUAGGCUCGGCGCAGCUAUGAAGCUGCAACACAAAUUAAUGGUUACCAUGGAAGAGAUGAAGCAAUAUUUCCUUGUUUUCUUUCCCUGGCUCCUUGGCGCCAGCUUGGCGGAUCUGGCUCAGUUUCAGGAACUGCAAGACACUUUAAACAAUCUAAUGAGGGAUAAUAAUAGGAACAUCUGCAAAAUUGAGAAGACCUUGGAAGAAAUUACACUUCAAAGCGAUGACAAUUUAGGGAUAAACAUAAUAUAAGAUUUCAUGAACAAAUCGUGAGAAUUCGUAAAUAUUGUUUGACACAUCGGGCGGCAUUUUAUGAAAAGAUUGUGGAAUGUAGGAGGCGUCAGAGGCAACCAUUGCCUUUGGAGGCUCUUCCAGAGACAAAGACUGGAGGAUAGAUAGUCAAACAGUUGGCAAUUUAAAUUCCACACCCUUCAAGUCAAAUAAAUAUACUUAUAAUCUACUUGUUUGGAUAUCCAUGCUAGAAACAUUAUCAAACUUCAAAAUGAAUAUAUGAGAGGCCCUUAUAAUUUCUACAAAACACAUUUAGAAACAUACAUAUUAAUAUCAGAAUAUUCUUACAUUCGAAAUGAUCAUGGGACAAUUUCCAACCCACAGGCCGCAGCAUACACACAGGACAUAGGACACUGGACAUAGGCACGACUUAAUGGGGGAAGUCCUGCAUAUGACUGUUCCCUCUGCGCCCGUUUUGGGUGUGACGAAAAAGGACUCCAGGGCAUUUGGAGCAGCCGCCCUCAGUAUACAAUUUUUUGAUGGCCUAACAAAAAUUGAUAUCACAUUUGAAUAUGACGAAGGACAGUCUUAAUGGGUUUACCUUUAAUAUUUUAAUUUUGUAUUUUAACUUACGUCUUUCUGUUUUUUAAAAAAAUAAAAGAUUUGUCACUAAUCAACUAUUUGAAAUGAAA
rnacentral:sRNA from 1 species